rnacentral:misc_RNA from 1 species
GAAAUGCGAUAAGUAAUGUGAAUUGCAGAAUUCAGUGAAUCAUCGAAUCUUUGAACGCACAUUACGCCCGCCAGUAUUCUGGCGGGCAUGCCUGUUCGAGCGUCAUUUCAACCAUCAAGCCCCCGGCUUGUGUUGGGGACCUGCGGCUGCCCGCAGGCCCUGAAAAACAGUGGCGGGCUCGCUGUCACACCGAGCGUAGUAGCAUACAUUCUCGCUCAGGGCGUGCUGCGGGUUCCGGCCGUUAAACGACCUUCAUAACCCAAGGUUGACCUCGGAUCAGGUAGGAAUACCCGCUGAAGUUAAGC